AGGAGACAGGCUGUACAUCACCAGCUACCAGAGCAAGCUCCUCACCCUGGCCAGGGAUGGCACACUCCUGGCUACAUACACAGACCCAGCACUAUGGGGCCCAUCUGGUCUACAUGUGACCCCUGCAGGCCAGGUGCUGGUCUGUGGAUGGCUGCCCUUCACUGUACUACAGGUGGGCUGGGAGGGAGAGAGUAAGCUGGCUAAUCUUGCUACUCAGGAGGAUGGACUGAGGUGGCCAGAGUCAGUCUGCUACAGCAGCACAACAUCAUCCAUCAUUGUGGGACAGCACAGGAACAACAACAUCCUGGUGUUCAGAGUGGAAUAGUGUGUACAUUCGCUGCUGAGUCAGGACAAGGAUGCUGAGGAUGUGGUGGACAAGGAUGACCUGAAUACACAGAAGCAAUUGCUGAGCACAGCGGAAGACUGUUUAAUGAAAGGCUCAGCGGUAUUAAUGUCCAGCAAUGUGCGGGGACGCGGCCUAUCCAUAUCCGUAUAUUACAUCAUUUUAGCUGUCACUAACAUGGGAGAUAACUGUAGAUCUGCACCAGCACAACUGCUAAGCACAGAAGACAAAGGAGUAGUGAAAGGCUCAGCCAAAUCAAAGUCCAGCGAUGUGAGGGUGACACAGCCUUUCAAGUCCUCGUAUUGCAACAUGAAGGACAUUUUAGCUGAAACUAACUAGGGAGAGAACUGUAGAUCUGCACCAGCACAGAGCACCAGCAUUGAUAUCGAGUUGGCCCAGCAACCACACCAGUCCUACCUGCAGAAGCCCCAGUCCAGAUUGACCCUCCCCCUCCAUUGACUUCUAACUCCUCCCCCUUGACCUCCUGCCUCAAAAAGUCAGCAUCGUUGAACAACUCUGUUCUGCAGGAAAUUCUUAGGGUGAUUCUGUUCUGACAAACGCAAUGCCCACGUCACGUUUUCCAAACAUAAGCCUGGGUAGUUUUGUUAAGCUAGAGUUCCGCGUGGGCCUGAAAGGGACGAGUGUUACAGACACGAAAAGUUAUAGCAGUAGUUAUGGUAACGCUAACAGUCAGUUGUUGCUGUUGGACAUCACAACAAAUAUCAUGAAGAAUAAAAAGUUCAAUCACUUGCUCCAAUCUUUAUGGGACAAACAGAAAUUGAACAGGAGAGAAUCAAGGAACAAUAAAAGCGUGAGCUUUCCUAGUGGCAUACGUCUGCUGUUGAUAGUUUGGACAACAGUAGGGUUACGGACUGCCCCAGAUUGUCCUCUCAGCGGCCAAAAUAUCAUAAUAGAACAGACUUUUGGCAAUGUUACUGACAAAAAAAGGCAAAAAUGACUUGGUUGUGAACACCAAGAGCGCGAUACAUCCAUGCUGACACAGAAAGGCGGUAAUAACUUGGUUUUGAAAACCCAGAGCACAAUACAUCCAUGCUGACACAGAAAGGAAGUAAUGACUUGGUUGUGAACACCCAGAGCACGAUACAUCCAUGCUGACACAGAAAAUAAGUAAUGACUUGGUUGUGAACACCCAGAGCAAGAUAUAUUCAUGCUGUUACAGAAAGGCAGUAAUGACUAUGCUGUGAACACCCAGAGCACAAUACAUCCAUGCUGACACAGAAAGGCAGUAAUGACUUGGUUGGGAACACCCAGAGCACAAUACAUCCAUGCUGACACAGAAAGGCAGUAAUGACUUGGCUGUGAACACAGAACACGAUACACCCAUGCUGACACAGAAAGGCAGUAAUGACUUGGCUGUGAACACAGAGCACAAUACAUCCAUGCUGAAACAGAAAGGCAGUCAUGACUAUGCUGUGAACACCCAGAGCACGAUAUAUCCAUGCUGACACAGAAAGGCAGUAAUGACUAUGCUGUGAACACCCAGAGCAAGAUAUAUCCAUGCUGACACAGAAAGGCAGUAAUGACUAUGCAGUGAACACCCAGAGCAAGAUAUAUCCAUGCUGACACAGAAAGGCAGUAAUGACUAUGCUGUGAACACCCAAAACACAAUACAUCCAUGCUGACACAGAAAGGCAGUAAUGACUUGGUUGUGAACACCAGGAGCAAGAUAUAUCCAUGCUGACACAGAAAGGCAGUAAUGACUUGGCUGUAAACACAGAACACAAUACACCCAUGCUGACACAGAAAGGCAGUAAUGACUUGGCUGUGAACACAGAACACAUUACACCCAUGCUGACACAGAAAGGCAGUAAUGACUUGGCUGUGAACACAGAGCUUAAUACAUCCAUGCUGACACAGAAAGGCAGUAAUGACUUGGCUGUAAACACAGAGCACAAUACAUCCAUGCUGACACAGAAAGGCAGUUAUGACUUGGUUGUGAACACAGAGCACAAUACAUCCUUGUUGACCCAGAAAGGCAGUAGUGACUUUGCUGUGAACUCAGAGCACGAUACAUCCAUGCUGACACAGAAAGGCAGUAAAGACUUGGUUGUAAACACCCAGAGCACAAUACAUCCAUGCUGACACAGACAGGCAGUAAAGACUUUGUUGUAAACACUAAGAGAUCCAUACAUCCAUGGGGUGUGCCACAGCCGCAAAUUACGCCCACUAUUGUGAACAAAGUUCUUAAAGUGAACACGUCUGGUUUUGUUAUGAGCACAUAGCACUCCAAGCCCAAAAGGCCUCGCAUUAAAUUGAUGCAAGAGAAGGCUUUGGAAAAUAACAGCAGUUUUGUUGUGUGGUCCAGUACGCCCUUCGACUUGCAACCUGAAGAAAGCAGAACUCAAACUCGUCUCUUAGCAAUAUCAGCAAGGCUAGCAUGUCAUCUCAGCUUCUUGAACUUCAGUGAACUUUACUAGCAAACAUGACUAACGUCAUUGAAGUGAAAGUCGAUGACAACCCCCUUCUUGCACAAAUACUACAAUUGCUUAAGAAAUUCAGCAUGGAGACGUCUUGCGUCAGACUACCAAGCCUCCUAUCAAUAUCUUCUUCCAUGUUGGCUAUAUCAACACUUCCAACAGCAGAGCCUUGGUGAGUUCGACUUCCGUCUCUGCAUCGAUGUCGCUUAGCAACAAUUGGAUGAUUGCGUCGACAAAUUAGGCCGGACAAGUUGCUCGAACUGAAACGAUCUGAUUCAACAGCCUGUUCCUACAGGAACCCAUGCAAUCAUAGAUCGGUACCUAGCUGAACAACAGGCUGUCUGGUCAGCUGGGCCCAGACGCCCAGUGACACUUCCUGGCCCAGGACCUUGGGGCAAAUGCUCAACUAGUCCUACCUGCAGGGUGGAGCCACUCUGAACCUGGGGCUCCAUACUUUCUUGGCCAGCGGCCAAGAUUACCUUGUCAAUGAGGGACACAUUCCUGGGAUGCCCUAAGGUCUUUCUAUCUGUUCACAGAGGUCUUAUACUCAUAAGUUCAAGCCCAGUGAGCGAUGUUCACAUUAUCAAACUCUGCAUCUCAAUAGUUAAGUCACCUUGCCGUUGCA